CACAUUCACUCCAUGCAUCUUCUCUCUUUUCAGUUAGCAGAUAUAUUUUGUAGGUAUCUUUGUUGUCUUCACAAAUUGUGAUAGACAGAUGACGAUGACUAUCAUCGUUGAAACACCAUCAACCACUGACAGUUUCUUUUAGAAAAUGGACAGGUCUUCAUUGACUUCUUAACUUGUUUCUGUUUUGAAAGUUUCAGAAUACUAAAUGAUUUCAUGAAUCGGUUUGGACUCGUGUUGUUUUAAGUUUUAUAUGUUUUUUUCCUAUUGUUUAAUAAGUUUU
rnacentral:lncRNA from 1 species